rnacentral:rRNA from 1 species
GCAUGCUCCACGGUGCUCACAACACAGCCACACACGAGGCGUGACCAGUGUUGUACGUGAGCCCGGAGCUUGCGCCUGCACCAAGAAUUAACCGAGAAAACAGGAUCAGCUCUGUUUAAGCCGGCGACGCACGCGCCACCAGGCCGGCGGGUUUGCCGUAGCUCACCCGCCACAGUCUUGCUUUCACUUCGCCUUCGGGUUUUGUGAGACCCUUAGACUUGCACACAUGCUAUACUCCUUGGCCCGUGUUUCGAGACGUGACCAAUGGUGCUGGACUUAACACCACUCAGACCAACGCCCGGCUGAGAGACCUUGCAUAAUGCAGCUGGGUCAAGACCGCCUGGGAUAGACACUUCCGGCACAGUGGAAGCGCCCGGACGUCGGUCUGGCCAGAAAGCAGCUCGUCGCAAGAGGAUCAUACCAGGUUUAUCUCGGUCGCCGCCCGACCCAGGACUAGACACGCGUCUGAGUCAAGUCUCUUUCGAGCCAUCAUCAACAACGCAUCGUUGCCAUCGUCCUGGAUGCGCGAUCGGCAGUUUGAGCCUGUGGGUGACCUCACAACGUGCUGUGGUGGGCAUAACCGCAUUAGACCAAGAGCCUCUGAACGUCCAUUCCAAAGGGCCGCUCGGGAGAUAGCUAAGCCGAAGCAAAGUCCCCCCUCGCUAAGCCCCCGCACGACAGCUAAACCUGGCAAACUCAAUGCUACGCCUGACGAGCUUUACUCAAGGUCUUAAGAACACCACGUAUGAUGGACCCGACUGCGGAAGCCUUCCAAGCUCCAUUGGCUUAUACUCUGAGCGGUUUCACGGUCUUU